AGAACGAACGCUGGCGGCAGGCUUAACACAUGCAAGUCGAACGCUCGUAGCAAUACGGGAGUGGCGGACGGGUGCGUAACGCGUGGGAACAUGCCCUUUGGUUCGGAAUAACCCAGGGGAAACUUGGGCUAAUGCCGGAUACGUCCGAUGCCUUUGCGGGCAUUGGAGAAAGAUUUAUCGCCGAAGGAUUGGCCCGCGUCCGAUUAGCUAGUUGGUGAGGUAACGGCUCACCAAGGCGACGACGGGUAGCCGGCCUGAGAGGGCGACCGGCCGACACUGGGACUGAGACACGGCCCAGACUCCUACGGGAGGCAGCAGUGGGGAAUAUUGCGCAAUGGGCGAAAGCCUGACGCAGCGACGCCGCGUGGGGAUGAAUGCCUUCGGGUUGUAAACCCCUUUCAGCAGGGACGAAGCGAAAGUGACGGUACCUGCAGAAGAAGCGCCGGCUAACUACGCGCCAGCAGCCGC
rnacentral:rRNA from 1 species